rnacentral:rRNA from 1 species
GACGAACGUUGGCGGCGUGCUUAAUACAUGCAAGUCAACUGAAGCAGUGGUAGCAAUAUCGCUGUGGAGGUGGCGCACGGGUGAGUAACACGUAGGUAAUCUGCCUUCAGGUCUGGCAUAACUCCGGGAAACCGGGGCUAAUAGCAGAUGAUGCAGCGGCUCGGCAUCGAGACAGUUGUUAAAGCUAUGGCGCCUGAAGAUGAGCCUGCGUCUGAUUAGCUAGUUGGCGGGGUAACGGCCCACCAAGGCAACGAUCAGUAGCUGGUCUGAGAGGAUGAUCAGCCACACUGGAACUGAGACACGGUCCAGACUCCUACGGGAGGCAGCAGUAAGGAAUAUUGCUCAAUGGGAGAAAUACUGAAGCAGCAACGCCGCGUGAGGGACGAAGGGCUUUUGCUUGUAAACCUCUGUAGAGAGAGAAAAAAAUCCCAAUCUUUGGGACAUGAUGGUAUCUCAAAAGUAAGCCCCGGCUAACUACGUG